GUGGGGAAUAUUGCACAAUGGGCGAAAGCCUGAUGCAGCAACGCCGCGUGAGUGAUGAAGGCCUUCGGGUUGUAAAGCUCUGUCUUCUGGGACGAUAAUGACGGUACCAGAGGAGGAAGCCACGGCUAACUACGUGCCAGCAGCCGCGGUAAUACGUAGGUGGCAAGCGUUGUCCGGAUUUACUGGGCGUAAAGGAUGCGUAGGCGGAUACUUAAGUCAGAUGUGAAAAUCCCGGGCUUAACUUGGGAACUGCAUUUGAAACUGGGUAUCUAGAGUGCGGGAGAGGAAAGUGGAAUUCCUAGUGUAGCGGUGAAAUGCGUAGAGAUUAGGAAGAACACCAGUGGCGAAGGCGACUUUCUGGACCGUAACUGACGCUGAGGCAUGAAAGCGUGGGGAGCAAACAGGAUUAGAAACCCUAGUAGUCC
rnacentral:rRNA from 1 species